GCCGACGGUUGAUAACUACAGCGUAGAUGAAAACAAGAGAAAAAAGCAAAAUGGUGGUCGAUAUGGAACUUCAAGAAGCAAAAGAUGAGGUCCUUCGGUUUAUAAAAGAUAGAGAUAAAAUUGAAUCCGAUAUACGCGCGCUGAGAGAUGUAUUAGAUAGCAACCAUGUGGGUAUGGAUGAUCCUCUGGUGGAUUCUGAGGGGUAUCCAAGACAGGAUAUCAACGUAUAUCAAGUCAGACAUGCAAGGCAUCGGAUAAUAUGCCUUACAAAUGAUCAUAAAGCAUUGAUGAAAAAGAUAGAAGAAGGUUUACAUAAAGUACAUUCUAUUUUUGAGAAUCAACCAGAGGAGCCCACAGCAACAACCAGCGACAUUGAAGAACCAUUUUCAACAGAACCUUUCCUGAGAGUAAAUUUGGUGUCACCUUCUUCUCCAGCUGAAGUAGCAGGGAUUCAAGUCGACGAUCUAAUAAUAGAAUUUGGCUCUAUUAAUUAUGGAAAUUUUAAGACCUUAAAGGAUAUCGCGACAUUAGUAGAACACAUACUUAACGAUGAUGUAAUCCUUGGAAGGAGCUUUGGUCGCUGGCAUUGUAACUUGAUAAAGAUAAUCCAUCUAAGUGAGUUUCUAGUCAGCAUUCCUUAACAGUCAGCAUAGUAUAUAAUGGAAAUAACUCUGUUGAAAGUUAGUUAAUGGGAAGUAGUAUCAGCAAAAUGAAUACCCAGGUGAUCGUAGCAUUUUGUCUAUUUGUUUUCGUCUUUGGGGUAUCAUGCGAAUCUACGUCGCUCGAACAAUCUAAUUCGUUACCCUUGACGUUCGUUUAUGCUGUCUAUCCGUUUUAUAAUACUGAAACGCUAUUACAAGUUUG